GACGAACGCUGGCGGCGUGCUUAACACAUGCAAGUCGAACGAAGAGCGAUGGAAGCUUGCUUCUAUCAAUCUUAGUGGCGCACGGGUGAGUAACGCGUAAUCAACCUGCCCUUCAGAGGGGGACAACAGUUGGAAACGACUGCUAAUACCGCAUACGAUCUAAUCUCGGCAUCGAGGAUAGAUGAAAGGUGGCCUCUACAUGUAAGCUAUCACUGAAGGAGGGGAUUGCGUUUGAUUAGCUAGCUGGAGGGGUAACGGCCCACCAAGGCGAUGAUCAGUAGCCGGUCUGGGGAGAUGAACGGCCACAUUGGGACUGGGACACGGCCCAGGCUCCUACGGGAAGCAACAGUGGGGAAUCUUCCGCAAUGGACGAAAGUCUGACGGAACAACGCCGCGUGGGUGAUGACGGCCUUCGGGUUGUAAAGCUCUGUUAAUCGGGACGAAAGGCCUUCUUGCGAAUAGUGAGAAGGAUUGACGGUACCGGAAUAGAAAGCCACGGCUAACUACGUG
rnacentral:rRNA from 1 species